GUUGUUCUCCUUCAAAUGUUGUUUUCUAGUAUGUGGUUAUUUAUCCUUGAAAUUCUCUUAGUCAUCCUUCACAUAAAGGGUUGUUGCAUAAUAGUGCUUUCUUUUCAUUGACUUAUUGGGAUGACAUUGGUUAAUGAAAUUAUAUGGAUUUCAGGUAUGCAGUUCUACAGUACAUCAUCUAUCUGUAUAUUGUAUGUUUACCAUCCCAAGUCAAAAUGUCUAAUGGUGCUUUAUAUAAGUGCCAAUAAAUUGUGGUUGUUAAAAUGAUACCAUUUUAUUUAUUUAUUUUUAAAAUUUUAUUUUCUUGUUUAAAGUAUUACAAAUAGUACAUAUGUCUCCUAUAAUGAUACCAUUUUAAAUCAAAUACACAAAUGUUAUUAUUACUAGAGGCCCGGUGCAUGGAUUUGUGCACCAGUGGGGUCCCUCAGCAUAGCCUGCGGGGAUUUGGCCGAAACUGGCAAUCCAGCACUGCUUGCUGCUCCUGCCUGCUGCUCCUGCUCAUGCCAGCCCCACUGUACCUGCCGCUGCCACUCGUGGCCUUCCUGAAAUUAACUCCAAGAUCCUUCUCAACAAGAUCAUCCUACUCUGAAACCUGGAGGGUGUGAGUUGUAAAAUAACUGUUCACCUCAUUGACCAAAUCCAAUUCUAUUCAGCAUUGUUUACUGACAUGUAGGGGAUGGAUCCAUGAUUGUGUACAAAGAUGAAAAAGAAAGCACAUUCUUUUUUUUUCUUCUUUUUUUUAAAAAUCUUGGUCCCUGUUCCCCUUUCUAGGUCUUGUCUUUUCUUUCUUUCUUUCUUUUUUUAAUAGAUUUUUUUACAGAGUGGAAGGGAGAGGGAUAGAGAGUUAGAAACAUCGAUGAGAGAGAAACAUCGAUCAGCUGCCUCCUGCACACCUCCUACUGGGUAUGUGCCCGCAACCAAGGUACAUGCCCUUGACUGGAAUCGAACCUGGGACCCUUCAGUCCGCAGGCCGAUGCUCUAUCCACUGAGCCAAACUGGUUAGGGCA